rnacentral:lncRNA from 1 species
GAAAGGACACUCUUCAGGAGCCCCUAAGGAGUGGGAGGCAUCUCAGGGGGGCUCAGGACCCACAGUUGGAUGUCCCAGUUGAUGUCCCAGUCAGAACACACCUGCAGAAAGACAGAAUAGGACUCCAACAAUGCUGAUACAGGAUAGAACUGCAGAGCCCUCAAGAUCCCUACACAGAGUCCUAGGAACUUGGAAUUUCUGCUCUGGCUCACCCUCAAAUGGACCUUCUAUUAACCCCAAAACUGCACAGGUUUCUAAAUACCAGGGUGUUGCCCCUGUGGUCUCCCUGCUCCUCUGAAAACAUAAAAGUGAGAUCUUCUCAGACUAUACAGCAAUGCUUUUUCCUUAGUUAGGAGAUGCAAUGUGCCCUUUUUUGAAUUACACAUACUUUCACAUCUCUGUCCCACUGAUACACAAAAACAUACUGACAUACCGAUCUCAUGAGCACCCACACCAACAUAGGGGUAGGGACGAGGAAAGGGUUUGCUACAUUGCUUUUCAUGCACAAGUUAAAAUUUACCAAGUCUGCAAUUCUAGGAGUUUUCUUGUUUCCCAGCAGGAUACCAAUGUUUGAUUCAGCCUCAGCCCCAGCUGACUCAGCGGCCCUAUUUACCAGCACAGUGAAUUCUAAAUGCCCACUGGUCACCAAAGGCCUUGGCUGUCCCAUUUGUAAAAUGGGACUGAAAUCUUCCUCACAGUAAUUAUCUGAUUCCUUAUGUAAAGUACUUUGUAAAAUAAACAGAUCUUUAUUGCUAUUAAUAUGAACAUUCAACCUGCCUAAGUAAAUGAGGAAGAAACUUAAACCAGCCCUUCUCUCCUCUAGGGGUUUGAAAUCUAUGAGAGGAAAAGACUAACCAAAAUACUGACGAACGAUUCAAAACCUCUGUUAUACUGUGCUGCAAGGAAUCCCUGUGGGGAGAUGAUUAUGUGGGAAAGAGCAUUCAAUACUUGUUCAAUUAAUAAACGAGUUCUGAUGCACUGCUUGAAAAAUGUCUACUUGUUACCAUCCACAGGAAGUUUUACCAAUACCAAAGGCUGUGAAAUCUGUUCAUACACUGUUUCACAUACAUCCCAAGAAAAGCAGUCAGCAUUUGCAGAGAGCAGCCAUUCUUUCAAAGACAUGAUUUUUCAAACCACACACAGAUCUUCAAAGCAGAUGACCCACACAAUUCUAUUUUACAAUUCCAGGAGCAAAAGCACCAACCCAGAAGAGCUCAGGUUUCCCUGGUGGCUCAGUGGUAAAGAAUCCUCCUGCAAUGCAGGAGANNNNNNNNNNNNNNNNNNNNNNNNNNNNNNNNNNNNNNNNNNNNNNNNNNACCCACUCCAGUAUUCUUGCCUGGAGAAUCCCACGGACAGAGGAGUCUGGGGGACUACAAUCCACAAGGUCACAAAGAGGUGGACAUAA